rnacentral:rRNA from 1 species
UACGUAGGGUGCGAGCGUAAUCGGAAUUACUGGGCGUAAAGCGUGCGCAGGCGGUUCGUUGUGUCUGUGGUGAAAGCCCCGGGCUUAACCUGGGAAUGGCCAUGGAAACUGGCGAGCUGGAGUGUGGCAGAGGGGGUGGAAUUCCGCGUGUAGCAGUGAAAUGCGUAGAGAUGCGGAGGAACACCGAUGGCGAAGGCAGCCCCCUGGGCUAACACUGACGCUCAGGCACGAAAGCGUGGGGAGCAAACAGG